rnacentral:misc_RNA from 1 species
GGCUGAAUAGACACGAUAUUUUAUGUAUAACCCAACUUGUAGCCUUAAGACAGAAUACCAUGAGUUUUUAUUUUUGAAUAAGUUUUCAGAAUGGUCUUAUUUAUUUAUUCACAGUGGUUUAGAAACAUUAUUUAGGAAAUUGAAACUUUUAAAAUUAUAUUUUCUCUGCAUUUCUCCAUGUCUCUGCUUGAUUCAUGUACACUUGAUCUUGUUAGAUUGCAAUUCUGACUUUGUAUUUUUUACCCCCCAUUUUAUAUGUUGAAGGCUG